rnacentral:rRNA from 1 species
CGGGAGGUGGCGCAGAUCCAGGGCCUCUGCGUGCAGAUGGACCGCCUGUGGCGCUCCAUCCCCGCCAAGGGCCAGCGCGACCUCUGGAAGAGAAAAGUGGAGCAGCUAUCUGAAGAGGUUGAUUCAUUGAAGGAAACCCUCAACAAGCACUCGUUGCGGCAAUGAAAGCGGAUUCUGGAAGCCAAGGAAAGGGCGGAGCUAUUUGAGAGAGAGAAUGGUGAGUCGUCACAUGUCCUUCAAAUAUUUGACGACGAAGCCCAGGCAAUGCAAUCGGCCCGUAGCUCCUCUCGAAUGCUUGACGAAGCCUUUGAGACAGGAGUGGCCAUCCUCCACAAGUAGUCUGACCAGAGGGAUCGUCUGAAGAGCGCGCAAAGGAAGGCUCUAGAUGUCCUGAACACCGUUGGCCUAUCAAACUCGGUCUUGAAGCUUAUUGAGAAGCGGCACCGGGUCGACAAGCGGAUCGCGUAUGGCGGCAUGAUCAUCACCGUCGUGCUGAUGGUUGCGUUUUGGCGAUGGACACACUAG